CUCUUAUCCCGAGUUGGUGGAGGGACAGGCCCUAAGAAACCCAGCAACCUGCCGAAGUGUAGAAAGUUUGCGAAAGAUUUAUUGCAAUUAAAAGCAAUUCUCUUUUAAUAAUUUUGGCGUUGGUGCUAACCUGAGCAAGGUAAAAAACCCUUGAACGAUAAGAG
rnacentral:ncRNA from 2 species